AAAUAGAUACCCGGGUAGUCCACGCCGUAAACGAUGAGUGCUAAGUGUUGGGGGGGUUUCCGCCCCUCAGUGCUGCAGCUAACGCAUUAAGCACUCCGCCUGGGGAGUACGGUCGCAAGACUGAAACUCAAAGGAAUUGACGGGGGCCCGCACAAGCGGUGGAGCAUGUGGUUUAAUUCGAAGCAACGCGAAGAACCUUACCAGGUCUUGACAUCCCGGUGACCACUAUGGAGACAUAGUUUCCCCUUCGGGGGCAACGGUGACAGGUGGUGCAUGGUUGUCGUCAGCUCGUGUCGUGAGAUGUUGGGUUAAGUCCCGCAACGAGCGCAACCCUUAUUCUUAGUUGCCAUCAUUUAGUUGGGCACUCUAAGGAGACUGCCGGUGAUAAACCGGGAGGAAGGUGGGGAUGACGUCAAAUCAUCAUGCCCCUUAUGACCUGGGCUACACACGUGCUACAAUGGACGGUACAAACGGUUGCCAACCCGCGAGGGGGAGCUAAUCCGAUAAAACCGUUCUCAGUUCGGAUUGUAGGCUGCAACUCGCCUACAUGAAGGACCG
rnacentral:rRNA from 1 species